CGGACCGGCGCACGGGUGAGUAACGCGUAUGCAACCUACCUAUCAGGAGGGGAUAACCCGGCGAAAGUCGGACUAAUACCGCAUAAAACAGGGGUUCCACAUGGAAAUAUUUGUUAAAGAAUUAUCGCUGAUAGAUGGGCAUGCGUUCCAUUAGAUAGUUGGUGAGGUAACGGCUCACCAAGUCCGCGAUGGAUAGGGGUUCUGAGAGGAAGGUCCCCCACACUGGUACUGAGACACGGACCAG
rnacentral:rRNA from 1 species